rnacentral:rRNA from 1 species
GACGAACGCUGGCGGCAGGCCUAACACAUGCAAGUCGAGCGAGCGGCGGACGGGUGAGUAGUGUAUGGGGAUCUGCCCGAUCUAGGGGGAUAACUACUGUAAACGUUGGCUAAUACCGCAUACUGUCGUUUGAACCCACAGGGGAUUAGCGAGUGGGGGGGGUAAAGGCUCACCUAGGCGACGAUCUCUAGCUGGUCUGAGAGGAUGAUCAGCCACACUGGGACUGAGACACGGCCCAGACUCCUACGGGAGGCAGCAGUGGGGAAUAUUGCACAAUGGGCGAAAGCCUGAUGCAGCCAUGCCGCGUGUAUGAAGAAGGCUUUAGGAUUGUAAAGUACUUUCAGCGGAGAGGCGUUACCCGAAGAAGAAGCACCGGCUAACUCCGUGCCAGCAGCCGCGGUAAUAC